rnacentral:rRNA from 1 species
AUUAUUUAAUAAAUAAUAAGACAAUAAAUUUCGAGAGAUUACUCGAACGCUAAGUAAUCAAAAACAUAAAAAGGAAAUGCGCAAUUCAUAGAACUUAAAUGCUUCAUAGUUAUAAUGUAAAUUUAUUUAUAUUAUAGUUAAUUUGAAUUGAUAGCCAACCUCGUUUUUAUUUUUAAAUAACCGUACCCUAAACCGACACAGGUGGAUAGGUCGAAUAGACUAAGGUGUAUGAGAUAAUUAUGUUGAAGGAACUCGGCAAAAUGACUCUGUAACUUCGGGAGAAAGAGUACCUAUUUAUAAUAAUAUAGAAG